rnacentral:rRNA from 1 species
AUACGUAGGGGGCGAGCGUUGUCCGGAAUGAUUGGGCGUAAAGGGCGCGUAGGCGGCCCGGUAAGUCUGGAGUGAAAGUCCUGUUUUUAAGAUGGGAAUUGCUUUGGAUACUGUCGGGCUUGAGUGCAGGAGAGGUAAGUGGAAUUCCCAGUGUAGCGGUGAAAUGCGUAGAGAUUGGGAGGAACACCAGUGGCGAAGGCGACUUACUGGACUGUAACUGACGCUGAGGCGCGAAAGUGUGGGGAGCAAACAGGAUUAGAUACCCUGGUAGUCCACACUGUAAACGAUGAAUGCUAGGUGUAGGGGGUAUCGACUCCCUCUGUGCCGCAGUUAACACAAUAAGUAUUCCGCCUGGGGAGUACGGCCGCAAGGUUGAAACUCAAAUGAAUUGGCGGGG